CCUACGGGAGGCAGCAGUGGGGGAUAUUGCACAAUGGGGGAAACCCUGAUGCAGCGACGCCGCGUGGGUGAAGAAUCGCCUCGGCGCGUAAAGCCCUGUCAGCAGGGAAGUAAAUGACGGUACCUGAAGAAGAAGCUCCGGCUAACUACGUUCCAGCAGCCGCGGUAAUACGUAGGGAGCAAGCGUUGUCCGGAAUUACUGGGCGUAAAGGGCGCGUAGAUGGGCGCUGAAGUCAGUUGUGAAAAGUACGGGCUCAACCGGGAGAUUGAAAUUGAAACUGGGUGUCUUGAGGGCAGGAGAGGAAAGUGGAAUUCCUAGUGUAGCGGUGAAAUGCGUAGAUAUUACGAGGAACACCAGUGGCGAAGGCGGCUUUCUGGACUGUAACUGACGCUGAGGCGCGAAAGCGUGGGUAGCGAACGGGAUUAGAUACCCGGGUAGUC
rnacentral:rRNA from 1 species